UAGGGAAUAUUGCAAAAUGGGCGAAAGCCCGAUGCAGCAACGCCGCGUGGGAGAUGAAGGCCUUCGGGUCGUAAAGCCCUUUUUGAGGGGAUGAGGAAGGACAGUACCCUCAGAAUAAGCCUCGGCUAACUACGUGCCAGCAGCCGCGGUAAAACGUAGGAGGCGAGCGUUAUCCGGAUUUACUGGGCGUAAAGCGCGUGCAGGCGGAUUGGAGAGUUGGAUGUGAAAGCUCCCGGCUUAACUGGGAGAGGUCGUUCAAUACUUCCAGUCUUGAGUGCAGUAGAGGGAAGUGGAAUUCCGGGUGUAGUGGUGAAAUGCGUAGAUAUCCGGAGGAACACCAGUGGCGAAAGCGGCUUCCUGGACUGUAACUGACGCUCAGACGCGAAAGCUAGGGUAGCAAACG
rnacentral:rRNA from 1 species